CAGCACCAAAAACAUAGGUAAACUGGUUGUAGCAACUCUGGGGAAAGGUGUCCUGACUACCUGGGGAGUCAGGGAACACCUUGAGCUGGAGGGCGAGGUAUCCUGGACACCUUGAACUGCUCAGAACAACAACUCUGCCCUGAAGGUGUCCCGGACACCUGGAGCUGUUUAGCACAGCUGUGACAGCUGGAACUGCAAAGAAGCAGUCCAAACCCAGAAGGAAAAAUUUUCUGAUUUCUCCAGAGAGUCAAGCCUGGAACUGCUUCAGCAGGAAAGUGUAUCCUGACUCCUCAGGAAAGUCAAGAAAUAUAGAGAAUCCCAAGGCACCAGACAAAUACCACAAGACCACUUGAGUUGUGGAAAGCCGGUAAGAAGGAGAGGCACAGCCCUGGCCUGGGCCACCUAGGCUGCACCAAUGCUGCUUCACUCAGAGGCCCUACUCCUCCUGCCACAGGCCCAGGCACAGUGAGAGAACCUUCUCUGGCACCACUGACUCAAUGGUCUGAAAGCUCCACUCAGCUGUCAGUCCACUUGACAUUUCUAAUAUCUCCUGCUCACCAGACAGAAAUGUGGAAAAGAACCAAGAGUGACAUGGGGCAUAGCAGCAAAAAACAAAAUUGCUGAAAAUACAGUUUCAAACAAUGGUUGACCAAAGACACAGAUAAGUAGAUGCUUCUGAAGCUAAGACUUGAUGAACAUGGGUAUCCCAUAGUCCCUGGGAACUGACAAACAUUUAGAAAAGUAGUCAAAGUUUACUGUUGCAAGGAGAAGCAGAAAUGAACACAUGAGUUUGGAAGCUGGAGUUUGCUGAGUGGUAAAUAUGUGAUCAUUUCAUCAUCUCCUUUAUUGACACAUCUCAUCAAUAGGGAACUUGACAAGAUUCUAGGAUGGUGUGGUGAAUACAGUUUUAUCUUUAUUGUAAUGGUUUAUCAACUUCAAGUUGAUAAUCGGUAAAUAUGAACUUACAAAUUUAGUAGUAUGCAACAUAGAUUGAGUUUAGAAGCCACUGGAAACCCUGCCUAGACAGUAUUGGCCAGUCUUUUGAGGUUGUGUAGACUGCAGUAGAAAGUUGUGAUAUUUAUAUGUCUCCAGUGGAAGAACAGAUAACUUCCAAUUGUUAUAGUUCCCCCCAC